rnacentral:rRNA from 1 species
AUUGAACGCUGGCGGCAGGCCUAACACAUGCAAGUCGAACGAGUGGCGGACGGGUGAGUAAUGUCUGGGAACCUGCCUGAUGGAGGGGGAUAACUACUGGAAACGGUAGCUAAUACCGCAUACCAUCGGAUGAGCCCAGAUGGGCUUAGCUAGUAGGUGGGGUAAAGUCUCACCAGGGCGACGAUCCCUAGCUGGUCGGAGAGGAUGACCAGCCACACUGGAACUGAGACACGGGCCAGACUCCUACGGGAGGCAGCAGUGGGGAAGAUGGCACAAUGGGCGCAAGCCUGAGGCAGCCAUGCAGCGUGUAUGAAGAAGGCCUUCGGGGUGUAAAGUACUUUCAGCGGGGAGGCGUUACCCGCAGAAGAAGCACCGGCUAACUCCGUGCCAGCAGCCGCGGUAAUUC